AGUACCUGAAUAACAAUAAGAAGAAAAAAACGGAUUUUAUUUCCGCUUCGGUAAAUUAGGUAUAAAAAAGGAUAGAAACUGCUACCAAAGAACUUUGACGCAGUUAGGUUUCACUGAAUUAGAUUUUGACCUUGCACGCCUUUGAUUGAUUAUACAAGCAGCUAUUAUCGAUAUCUUUGUGUAAAAAGGCAAUCGAUAGCAGCAUACGCCUAUUAAUUGUGAACAUAUUCGCAAGGAAUCAAGUGGACGAUCUUAAUGUUGUAAACGUUAUAGUUAAUUUCCCAACUAGCACAAUUCAUGUGAAAAAAUGUAUUUCUACUGAAUCUCAAGUAACACUCUAGAUGUAUUUAUUAAGAAAGAUGAUAUGACCUUAAAGGAAGAUAUGUCGAUAUCCGUACAAGAUGUUUGAACUGAAAUAUUCCAUUUCUUUAAUUAUGCUCAUAAAAAUAUAAAAUUGCAUCAACAUCCGCAGUUUAGUAAUAAGA